rnacentral:tRNA from 1 species
AGCCAGGAUGGUGUAGUUGUUUGAGCAUUGGACUAUGACUCUGGAGACCAGGGUUCAAAUCCCAGCUUGGCUG